rnacentral:misc_RNA from 1 species
GUGGAGGAGGACGCCGAAGGUGGGGCUAAUGACUGGGGUGAAGUCGUAACAAGGUAGCCGUACCGGAAGGUGCGGCUGGAUCACCUCCUAACAGGGAGACAACAAAAUGUUUAUAUUAAUUUUGUCACCUUAGGUCGAUCGGUAUCUCACAUUCUUAAUUAAUUAAGAAUUUCUUUUUCUAAGUUUUUUCUAGGUCACACCCAUUACUUUUCCUGGGCCAUUAGCUCAGGUGGUUAGAGCGCACCCCUGAUAAGGGUGAGGUCCCUGGUUCAAGUCCAGGAUGGCCCAUAUCUCUAUGUUGGGGGUAUAGCUCAGUUGGUAGAGCGCCUGCUUUGCAAGCAGGAUGUCAGCGGUUCGAGUCCGCUUACCUCCACUGAUUACCACCUCUGUCAUGAUUUUCGGGAAACGUUUUGAGUUGUGAUCAAAAUCUGAAUGAAUCUAGCCUCCUAAUACAAUUAUUAAGAUGCUGGACUCAUUGAAUUAAUUUUCAUUGUUUUCAGAGAACCUUGACAACUGCAUAGAUUAUUUUUAAAGACAAUAAGCAUCUUUAAUGAUGCAGAUUUAUUAUUUGUGCGAAAGCAUUAAUAACAAUUCUAUUAAGCUGAUGCUUCAAAUAUUGAAGUUAUUGGUCAAGCUACAAAGGGCUCACGG